AUGCCCGCCCAGCUGACAGCCGCUCUACCAUCCUACUCCCCGGCCGCCAAGGCCGCCGGCGGCUCGUCGGCGUCCUGCACCGCCAGCCACUUCCUGUCCUACCCGACCCGCCGGCUCCGCAAUGGCGUGCGCGCGCAGGUGUCGACGACAGAGACCGCGGAGCCGGCCCCUGCGGCGCCGGCCAAGCCGGUGAAGAUCUCCAAGAAGCAGGACGAGGGGGUGGUGACCAACAAGUACCGCCCCAAGGAGCCCUACGUGGGGCGGUGCCUGCUCAACACCCGGCUCACCGGCGACAACGCGCCCGGGGAGACCUGGCACAUGGUGUUCAGCACCGAGGGGGAGGUGCCGUACCGGGAGGGGCAGUCCAUCGGGGUGAUCGCCGACGGCGAGGACAAGAACGGGAAGCCGCACAAGCUGCGGCUCUACUCCAUCGCCAGCAGCGCGCUGGGGGAUUUUGGGGACUCCAAGACCGUGUCGCUCUGCGUCAAGCGCCUCGUCUACACUAACGACGCCGGGGAGGUCGUCAAGGGCGUCUGCUCAAACUUCCUCUGUGACCUGAAGCCGGGUUCAGAAGUGAAGAUCACUGGGCCGGUGGGCAAGGAGAUGCUCAUGCCCAAGGACCCCAACGCAACCAUCAUCAUGCUCGCGACGGGUACCGGUAUCGCGCCGUUCCGCUCCUUCCUCUGGAAGAUGUUCUUCGAGCAGCACGAGGACUACAAGUUCAAUGGCUUGGCAUGGCUCUUCCUGGGGGUUCCCACAAGUGACACUCUGCUCUACAAGGAGGAGUUUGAGAAGAUGGUGGAGAUCGGCGGGGAGAACUUCCGGCUGGACUUCGCGGUGAGCCGUGAGCAGACGAACGCGGCGGGGGAGAAGAUGUACAUCCAGACGCGGAUGGCCGAGUACAAGGAGGAGCUCUGGGAGCUGCUCAAGAAGGACAACACCUACGUCUACAUGUGCGGGCUCAAGGGCAUGGAGAAGGGCAUCGACGACAUCAUGGUCGACCUCGCCGCCAAGGACGGGAUCGACUGGAUUGACUACAAGAAGCAGCUGAAGAAGGCCGAGCAGUGGAACGUCGAAGUAUACUGA
rnacentral:rRNA from 1 species